AUUGAACGCUGGCGGCAGGCCUAACACAUGCAAGUCGAACGGUAGCACAGAGAGCUUGCUCUUGGGUGACGAGUGGCGGACGGGUGAGUAAUGUCUGGGAAACUGCCCGAUGGGAGGGGGAUAACUACUGGAAACGGUAGCUAAUACCGCAUAACGUCGCAAGGACCAAAGUGGGGGACCUUCGGGCCUCACACCAUCGGAUGUGCCCAGAUGGGAUUAGCUAGUAGGUGGGGUAAUGGCUCACCUAGGCGACGAUCCCUAGCUGGUCUGAGAGGAUGACCAGCCACACUGGAACUGAGACACGGUCCAGACUCCUACGGGUGGCAG
rnacentral:rRNA from 1 species